rnacentral:rRNA from 1 species
CCUACGGGAGGCAGCAGUGGGGGAUAUUGCACAAUGGGGGAAACCCUGAUGCAGCGACGCCGCGUGGGCGAAGAAGUAUUUCGGUAUGUAAAACCCUAUCAGCAGGGAAGAAGAAAUGACGGUACCUGAGUAAGAAGCACCUGCUAAAUACGUGCCAGCAGCCGCGGUAAUACGUAUGGUGCAAGCGUUAUCCGGAUUUACUGGGUGUAAAGGGAGCGCAGGCGGCACGGCAAGCCUGAUGUGAAAGCCCGGGGCCCAACCGCGGGACUGCAUUGGGAACUACCGGGCUGGAGUGCCGGAGAGGUAGGCGGAAUUCCUAGUGUAGCGGUGAAAUGCGUAGAUAUUAGGAGGAACACCAGUGGCGAAGGCGGCCUACUGGACGGUGACUGACGCUGAGGCUCGAAAGCGUGGGGAGCAAACAGGAUUAGAUACCCUUGUAGUC